UACGUAGGGGGCAAGCGUUGUCCGGAUUUAUUGGGCGUAAAGAGCGUGUAGGCGGCCACACAGGUCUGCUGUGAAAACUCGAGGCUCAACCUCGAGCUGUCGGUGGAAACCGUGUGGCUAGAGUCCGGAAGAGGAGAGUGGAAUUCCCGGUGUAGCGGUGAAAUGCGCAGAUAUCGGGAAGAACACCCGUGGCGAAGGCGGCUCUCUGGGACGGUACUGACGCUGAGACGCGAAAGCGGUGGGGAGCGAACAGG
rnacentral:rRNA from 1 species